rnacentral:misc_RNA from 1 species
AACACAAUAUUUGAUGGCUAUGGACCCUGGGCUGGAGAUAUAUCUACACGAGAUCAGGGUUCAUUGGUUGCCUUUGAGGAUGGAACAUCUACUUCUUAUGCCCUUUCUAGUUCACAGGAGAGGGGGCAGAUGUUCAUUGGUCCUGGAGUGGAAGUUUACAAAGGUCAAAUAGUUGGAAUCCAUCAGCGACCAGGGGACCUUUCACUUAAUGUGUGUAAGAAAAAGGCUGCGACAAAUAUACGUUCAAAUAAAGAGCAAACAGUGGUUCUUGACACCCCCUUGGAUUAUAGUCUCGAUGACUGCAUUGAGUACAUUCAAGAAGAUGAGCUGGUGGAGGUCACUCCCUCAAGUAUCCGAAUGUGCAAAAAUCCAAAGCUUGCAAAAAAGACAAGAUAAGCAUUUUAGACUUGCAUCCAGUGAAUCUGCUAGCAAAACCAUCCUUGCUUGACUAAUCUCAAUGCAAUAGAAGCCUCAUACUUGCGCAUUUAAAUUCAUAUCAUUUGCCAUUCAUCCGACUUGAUAUAGAAUGAAUCAUUGUUUAGGAAUGCCAAGCAUUUUAAGUUUUGCUUCCUGAUACAAGUCUGUAUAUAACUAGUUAUAUGGCACAUUCAAUUGGUGAAUUGUAUUGCUAGGAAAUAAGCAAGUGAAGAUUCUCAAGUCCUGUAAUAUCAGAAUCAGGCACAGGCAGUCACUCUCUAAGAGGGGCUGAAAUAA